rnacentral:ncRNA from 2 species
AUACAGAAAAAGGGGAGCUGGCAACGGCUGAGAGGAAGCAUUCGCUUCGACCCAUACACCUGAUUUGGAUAAUGCCAACGGAGGGACCAUCGUGGAACUUUGA